rnacentral:rRNA from 1 species
AUUGAACGCUGGCGGCAGGCCUAACACAUGCAAGUCGAGCGAGCGGCGGACGGGUGAGUAAUGUAUGGGGACUGCCCGAUAGAGGGGGAUAACUACUGGAAACGGUGGCUAAUACCGCAUACUAUCGGAUAACCCAUAUGGGAUUAGCUAGUAGGUGGGGUAAAGGCUCACCUAGGCGACGAUCUCUAGCUGCUCUAAGAGGAUGAUCGGCAACAUUGGGACGGUGACACGGCCCAGACACCUACGGGGGCAGCAGUGGGGAAUAUUGCACAAUGGGCGAAAGCCUGCUGCAGCCAGGCCGCGUGGAUGAAGAAGGCCUUAGGGUUGAAAAGUACUUUCAGCGGGGAGGCGUUACCCGCAGAAGAAGCACCGGCUAACUCCGUGCCAGCAGCCGCGGUAAUAC